rnacentral:rRNA from 1 species
AACGAACGCUGGCGGCAUGCCUAACACAUGCAAGUCGAACGAGACCUUCGGGUCUAGUGGCGCACGGGUGCGUAACGCGUGGGAACCUGCCCUUAGGUUCGGAAUAACUCCCCGAAAGGGGUGCUAAUACCGGAUAAUGUCUUCGGACCAAAGAUUUAUCGCCUUUGGAUGGGCCCGCGUUGGAUUAGCUAGUUGGUAGGGUAAAAGCCUACCAAGGCGACGAUCCAUAGCUGGUCUGAGAGGAGGAUCAGCAACACUGGGACUGAGACACGGCCCAGACUCCUACGGGAGGCAGCAGUGGGGAAUAUUGGACAAUGGGCGAAAGCCUGAUCCAGCAAUGCCGCGUGAGUGAUGAAGGAAUUAGGGUUGUAAAGCUCUUUUACCCGGGAUGAUAAUGACAGUACCGGGAGAAUAAGCUCCGGCUAACUCCGUG